GGUGGGUGAGCUUGAAGGAUUCUGAUGGUGUGGUUAUAAAUAGAAGAUUAAAUGAAUGAAAAAUAUUAAUUAAGAUUUGUAAAUUAUCCGUACAUACUUUGCUUAAAGUUUUGUUCAAAAAUUAGCUGUAAUUUAAGAUACUCCAUCACAUCUGUCUGUUUGUAAUGGAUGAAAUUUGUGAUUUUACGUUCAAAGAAAGAUAAAGGAAGUACAUUAUGUUUGUUAUGUAUUUUUCUAGUAGUUGCACCAAUUUGCUUAUGUUUAUGGAUUGAAUUAGUAACACCAUCGGUUGUUUUUUUUUUCUUUUUUCUUUUCAAGGACGGCUUGAUAUAAUUGGCGCUCGUCCUUCACUAAGUCCUACCGGCAGUGGAGCUAAGUUGGCUGAUAGGGAGAAUACACAUGUACAGAGAUAUAUGAUUACAAGUAAUCAGAAGAGGGAUCGAACACGAUAUAUAUAGAUAGUAACUGCUUGAUGCUAAGUGUCAUACAUCAGUUUUACUACUUUUGAAUUUCCUCCCCCCUUCAUUUAAUUUAGUUUGUUUUCAGUUUAGGUUCAACUCAUGACUUGUAGUAUAUAUAUAAGAUGCAUGAUAUAUGAAGCUAAUCAUUCAUCAUAGUGGUCUAACUGAGAUAUAUACAAGCGUCGCUGAUUCACCAAUGGCGGGAACUGGAUGUUCAGGAAAACAAGAAUGGCCAGAGCUACUAGGAGCAAAACCAGACAUUGCCAAGGAGACAAUAGAGAGGGAAAACUCUUUGGUUAGAGCAAGGCUUAUCGAGCAGGGAACAUAUAGAAUUCUUGAUUUUAAUUGCAAUCGAGUUUGGGUAUGGACGUCACCAAAGGAUCAGUCCGGACCAGAUGGUGUUGUCGUCGUUGAAAUCCCAAAAGUUGGCUAGCUAAGAAGCCAUGUACAUUUACGAUCGAUUGGUGUAAUUAAGAACUAGCUAGUAUAAUAAAAUCAAUCGAAAAAUAAAUGAGCUGGUAUCAAAUCGGGAAUUUGUGUCCAGAAUCUUAGUUAGAUACUCGUCCUUGAAGUCUUGAACGAUUCGUUUUUUUCUUCUAUAGUAUGCGACAGGGGACCACGCUUGCAGUGCCAUGGCCUCCCUAAAAUUUCCAAAA